UACGUAGGCAGCGAGCGUUGUUCGGAAUUACUGGGCGUAAAGAGUGUGUAGGCGGUGUUCCCAGUCUGUUGUGAAAUCUCCCGGCUUAACUGGGAGGGUGCAGCGGAAACUAGAAUGCUAGAGGGUGGGAGAGGUAAGCGGAAUUCCUGGUGUAGCGGUGAAAUGCGCAGAUAUCAGGAAGAACACCAAUGGCGAAGGCAGUUCUCUGGGACGGUACUGACGCUGAGACGCGAAAGCGUGGGGAGCGAACAGG
rnacentral:rRNA from 1 species